GGACAGAGAAACAGCUGGUGGACGAGUGGUGGAGUGAGGAAGAGGAGGAGGAGGAGGAGAGAGAGAGAGAAAGAGAGAGGAGAGGCACAGAGAUCUCUGGAAUCAUGGGCACUCACAUCAUCUCCGAGCCAGAGCCUCCGUCCCUCGUAUGUCGAAGUUGUCCUCCGUCGACUUGCCCUCCCUCCCUCCCUCCCUCCCUCCUAGGUCUCUCUCGUUCUCUGCCUCCUCUCUCACCCUCUUGCCUCCCUCCUCUCGAGGACGAUAUCACAACUCUUGUCCUCUCUCCUCUCUCAUCUCUGCCUUUUUGCCGCCCUCUCUCCCAGCAUGUCAGGCUAUACCGCUAUUCCCGACGAACAGUCGAAUCGUAUACGCCCGAGUCCUGGACACUGAAAUGAGUUUGCCUCAAAGCGGCGCGCGUCCCUCGCCGUGAUGCAGAUGCGAAGGCAUUAGAGGGGAAUGACAUGACAUUGCUCUCACUUAACGAGAAGGAGUCACAUGGCCAAAGUCAAUACGGGGGGAGUUUGACACACUGGCACGAGUCGACAGAAGAUCUAGAGUCACUCUGCCCAGGCCACGUUCCGCAAAAGCCCCAACUAUUCAAAACACAGCUGGUCCACAUCUGCCUCGAGGACGACUCCAUUGGUUGGAAUCGGACCCGAAUCCUCACACACGUCACGCGCGAGUCAGUGAUCGGCGGGGAGGUACCCACUGGAACCCGCAAAUCACCGUGUGAAUCGGCAUAUGAUGCAUCACUUCCUCCACACAGUCGGAGGGGAACCAGCCUGUGCGACCUCUGACCGUGCCCUCCCAGUAACCACCCUCGCCAACACUCAACACUACAGGGGGGGGGGGGUUGCAAGACAAGAGCAGCGCGUCAGAGGAAAAAAGGCAACGCAAACCAACACACACACACACACUCACCCACAAACAGAUAACAGUGAGAAAUGAAUACACACAGACACAAAAAGACAGUUAAACAGACAUAAAAAGAAAUAAUGUAGACACACAACGGACGUGCAAACCUCCUACAUACUCACCAAGACAUACAUACCUGGCGACACCUUAGACUCACUCACAAACACACACAUAUUCAUACCUGCAGACAUUGAAUACAGACAUAUACAGAGACCUUACACUCAUGUUGGGAAAUGACUGUUUUACACACUCAUCUGAAGACACUUCUUCUUCUUCUGAAGGCCUGGGUUCUGACUUCCCUUCAUGCACUUCACCCUCAACACACUGGACUUUAGUCUACAUGCUCCAGUUGAGUAUUUUCUUUUGUGUGUAAUAAUUUUUUGCUGUAAUUAUCAAUACUUGUUAAGUCAAUGUUUAUUCAAGAGAUGCGCACACCCAUAGUCUUGAGAAAUGCAAUGAAAGAAGACUGUUGUAACUUCUACGUCUGUCUGUAUGAGGCCACGCUGCCUUGUCAAACCUUUGCAUUAAAGCUACAGUGUGUAAUAUUUCGAGAACUUAUGAACAGAAAUUGAAUAUACUUUGUCCAUAACUGUGUGUUCAUAUAUGUAUAAUCACCGGUUGCGGUUUUCAAAUUCACCACCAGAUGCCGCCAAAUAUUACACACUGUGGCUUUAAAACUUCUCCAUCUGUAGUUUUACCAGGGAUGCGCAACGUCUUGAGUAUUUUUUUACUUUGCAGCCCAACGUAUCCUUUUUCAUCUCUUCUAUCGUUUUAGUUUUUUCCAGUCUGAACGUGGCCCCGAAUGGUUGAAUCUCAUCACUGUCCUAAGCCUCUUGCUCGUGUAACAUCACGAACACCGGUUCCCAAACAGAAAGACACGUUCAACUCACAUGGAAGACAAUAUGAAGUAUUAUGCUCCGGCACAAGGUCAUCCUGACGUGGAACUGCACACGGACUCACCUUUGACCCUGUCUCCCUUACUGAAGCUGAUUUCUCGCUCUCCCUGUGCAGAAUGUGUUUUGGUGGCGACGAAGACUCGUCCCGGGACGGCGCUGUAGAGUCGUCGGCGCUGCCCCGCUGUUUGUGUGGUGGUGCUGGCCGGGGCAGGCCUGGGGGGGGGGAGAAGGUAGGACGGACAAGAGAUUAAAGAAAAAAUAUAAAGAUUCUAUAUAGCAAUAAGUCUGUAUGGCCUAACAAAUAAAUGAACAUCAAAAGGAGAAGUAAAGCCCAUUUAGAGCCAAAUAUAUGAUAUAAACUGUACAUACUGGGGUGUGGAUACAACAUGAUUGACAGCCAGUACCGUCCAAUAGGUGCAUGGUUGCACCUCCUCCACUCACCCCUGCCUCCGACUCUGCCUGCUCCGGUCCUCCUUGUCUCCGAUCCUCCCUCGGGACGGGGAACGCGUCCUCGCCCCUCUGGGACUGCUGGAGCUCCGCAGGGUACCAGUAUGCUUAUAGCCCUGGGAGAAAGAGAGAGUUAAAAAUAUUUCAUAUUUUACAGUGUGUCAUACCAUACCAGUAUAGUCUUUUGCACCAGCACGUCUGCACAGAAAGUGGAGUUGCACUUGCAACAUCAAAUAAACCAAAACAUGUCAAAUGUUUAAUCACA